rnacentral:misc_RNA from 1 species
CUAUCAAAAUUUUGACAUGACGAAACAAUUUUCUAUUUGUGUUCUAAAAGAGUAGUCUGCAGCAGAAGUUGGCGUUGUUGGUGUAAGUGAAAAUUUGUUGUCGGAAAUAGUUAUUUUUCUGAACUGUUUUCGUAUAAAUUUUCUUACUGCUGGUGUUCGUGUAAUAUUCAAGGAGGAGACGACGACAAUGAAUCGUAAUGGAUAUGUAAUCUAGUUUAUUCAUAAUGGCCGGCCAUGUUUGCCGGGGUAAAGCGGCGGUCUUCCAACAUUCGUGUCAUGCAGUUGUUCCAUGAAUUGAAACAACAGUUUCCGACGGUACCGGACCACAUUGUCACCGCUUGCAUUACUAAUUACGGUCAAAAAACCAAUAACAACUACUGUAAAGACGAUCAGCAGAAAUCAAUUCAGGAAAUUCUGAAAGCCACAAUCGCUUCCGAAAACCAGGAGUCCAUGGGCCAGCAAGCAGUUGCUCCUGCCGAUCCCGCAGUCCCGCGUAUGUCUAAAUCUAAUGUUGAGACAAAUUUUUCAAACGAUACCAUAGAAGAACAAUAUCUUUGUGACGAAAAAAGGCAAGUCGCCAAUUCCGAGAUCCUCGCUUUGGACGGAGGUCGUAACGGUAAACCAAAAAGGCCUCAUAGAAAAAAUCAUCAUCAAAAGAAAGUCAAAGGAAGCGCCGUUAAAAAAAGCACAAAAGACGAAAUCGAUAACCAACAGCAUCCGAGCUGUUGUGCUGCAGAUUAUUCUCAAUCGAGCAAAUCAUUUUUGGACAAUUUGGACAUUAAAGUUGACGCCAGAAGCAAUCAAAAUAGCCCCGAUCGACAUCGACUCGAAAUGAACGAAGGUGAUAGUGAUCCUAACCGAAAUGUGAAACCGAAUGCGUUUUAUUCGAAAAAUUCCGAAAGUGUUAGUGUAAGUUGCUCAAACCCGAAUAGUGAAACUGAACAGAAAGUGGGAAACAGUUCGUUCUUUGUUAAAAGACCAACCUAUUUAAAUAUCAAACCCGAUCAGCCUGCUACCCCUCACGAUUUAGUUGAUGCCAACAUACGACCAUCCGAACGGUGUUUCGAUAUACAGAAACUCUUACAUUCAGAACACUCUGACAGUAAACCCCCACGUUCCCCUCUUACUUCUAAACGCUUUCUUAGGGGAUCACCCAGUAAACCUGAUGGCAUAACCACAACAAAGUCACCGUUAGUUUCUCCUGAUACCAAGAAACCUCCUUUGUCUCCCAAAUCAAACAGGGCACAUCAUUUUCAGGAUAGCCCCAUAUCUAAGAGCUUUAUAUCCCCUGCAUCUCAAUUUAGCAAUAAUCCUAUCCUAUCCCCAAGCGUAGAUGUAAGUGCUUCCGUAUUUCAAAGCAAAAACCUUACUGGCGAAACUUCUAAUAUCGGAGACUGUAAAAAAGACUGUGAAAAGUGCGCUGAUUUAGUUGGAGUUGGAACACCAGCUCAAGCUGUUACGCCUCUUCUGGAGGCAGGCGCGAGUGUUAAUCUUUCCCUCAAAGUUGAUUGCUCCAUGGGUUUAGUUCAAUCCCCAACCAGACCUCGACGUAGUUCGGUGUUAAAUGUAACACCAGAACUACCCUGGUGUUCUCCCGAGUCACCUUCUUCCCAGAGAAGCUACACGAGCGUCAAUUUGACUUUAAGGCCACCCUCGUCAGAACCUCAAGCUCCUAUUAACAUCACGUCCCAAAAUUCUAGUCUCACGUACUCUACCAGCAGCUUUGAUUCCCAAAAAGGUCUUCAAAGUCGGCUUCAGAUCACUGUCGGGCCCAGUGGAGGUACGGUCUCUUCGGUGAGAACGCGUCCGAAGAGCAGUUACAUUCCUCAGGAGAGCCCACAAGAAACUGUGCCUGCAAGAGCCGGCUCUUUACCAGAUUUAGCGGCAAACGAAUCGACGUCUGUGAUAUCGAAGCAGCAGGUUCGAAUAGACAGGUUACGGAUAGAACUUGUUACGGAAAAGGGUAGGUUGAUAGCGAUGCAACGGGAAGUUGCAGCAUUAGAAAACCCACUUACCAAUUCUUUAACGACCAAGGUGGACGUGGAAUUGGAAAAGCAGCUUUUGAACGAAAUUAAGCAUUUAAGGGGCCAGUGUGAGAGACUUGUGUUUGAAGUGGAAGGUCAGGUAGAAUGUAGAGUUCCUUUAGGUGAAACAAAUGAAGAGUUUUAUCGAAAUAUUUACACGGGUCAAAGGGGCCCUUUAACAAUCGAAAGGCCCUUCAGUAACCGUCGCCUCCAAUACCAAGGACCUUCACCGGUUGCUGUGUCGGAGGUGGACGGUCCAAAAUGGAAUUGUCCCGUGUGUACAUUCCAAAAUCAUCCUCUAUUGAAUAAAUGUGAACAGUGUGAAAUGCCUCGAAUUCUUCAUGUUUCUGCAGCCCCUGGUGAUAAUAUUCAUAUACACGUGACUCCAAGAAUAUCAAGGCGUAAGAUAUUGUUGUGGCUUUGUGUUUUAAAACAAAUUAUUUAUUAUUUUGCAUGAGUUCACAAAUUAUUUAUGUUAUCAUCUAACUGAUCGUUGGUUUUGUUACUGUGUUGUUGCAUUUAUUAACAGUUUAAACAGGAAUUGUGCAUUCGUGGGUUUUAUAGCGAAGUGGUCGUCCUGGGAAUUUUAGCUAAAAAACUAGUCAAUACUAGUCUUGACUACUUAUUUGUACCUUUUAUUAAAAGGGAAACUUAGUACGUAAUAAUAAUCAUUAAGUGGCGGUGAUAUAAUUAAGAAAAUUAAUUUUGUAAA